GCAGUAGCCGCGGUAAUACGUAGGUGGCAAGCGUUGUCCGGAAUUAUUGGGCGUAAAGGGCUCGCAGGCGGUUUCUUAAGUCUGAUGUGAAAGCCCCCGGCUCAACCGGGGAGGGUCAUUGGAAACUGGGAAACUUGAGUGCAGAGGAGGAGAGUGGAAUUCCACGUGUAGCGGUAAAAUGCGUAGAGAUGUGGAGGAACACCAGUGGCGAAGGCGACUCUCUGGUCUGUAACUGACGCUGAGGAGCGAAAGCGUGGGGAGCGAACAGGAUUAGAUACCCGUGUAGUCCCUGUCUCUUAUAC
rnacentral:rRNA from 1 species